rnacentral:lncRNA from 1 species
UAAGGCUAGGGUCCCACAUUCAUGUCCCUUCUGCUUACAGGGCCAUCCAGUGACCUUUACAAUGGAGUGGAGCUCACAUAUUUUCUUUUCUUUUGGAAACUGUCCAUGAGAGGAGGACCACGCACCUGCAUUCUGCACAGAGGCUUGUCGUCAGUUCAGACCAGUGACAAGAGGCUUGUCAUCAGUCCAGUGACAAGAAGCAGGCAUUCCAUCAGCCCAGUCAUUUUGCUCAGGACCCAAAAGACUGCCAUUCCCAGCCCUGCAGGACAGCAGCACUGGGCCUUCACAAACCCAAAUGGAAUGGGAGUUAAGAACAGUGACUCAACAUUUCACCCCAUCUGCAGAUAUGGGCGGACGCUGGGCCCCCAUUUCGUGCCAUCUGCUGUCCUUCCUUGGAGCAUAACACUCCGUAAGUGAAAACUACAACACGGGCUUGCUGGUGAUCAUGUGGGAAAACCAGAAACAAUGGGAAAGUCCAGAAGUGGGUGGGGGGCUACAUAAAAUGGCAGCCAGUAAGAAGCCAGCCGUCAGGAACCCUGUUGUGGAACAUGCUGAACAUCAAGGAAGGGACCUCACUUAUGGUGGUGGCUUCAUGACCUUCUGCGUUCAUCCCCUGUAUCUGUCCCAUCUCGUCCUUCAUUCCUUCAUUCUCUCUACUCGCCCUGGUGGGCUUGCUCACAGUUCCUAGAACAAGCCAGGUGCGCUGUGGACUCUGAGUUUUGUGCUGGAUGUUCCUUCCAUGUGGACUGUUCUUCACCCUCACCUUCUCCAGAGAUUUUCUCAGAAAUCACCUUGCUCAAGAGACGUUCCAUCCAAGAUGUCAACUUACCCCCAAUACACCCUCCCACAUACAUACAUUCCUCACAUCCCUCUUCCUGACUUUACAUUUUCUUUCUAAUGAUCAUUAUUUAACUGGUAACAUGCAUUAAUUAUUUGUUUGUCACCCACCUUUCCCCACCCCACUUAGAAAGCAAGAUCUUGAGGACAAGGAUUUUUGCCGUUUCUAUAUACCCCGUGCCCAGGACAGAACCAGGAAUUCUCAAGGGUGAAGUAAUGGGUGAAUGAGUGACUUCACUUUCUCUCACUAUCUAUCUGUAUUUCUUCCUUUUUUUAAUUUUUGAAUAGAUUUUUAAAAUUUUUUAAAUAUAAUUUAUUGUCAAGUUGGCUAACAUACAGUAUACACAGUGUGCUCUUGGUUUCGGGGUAGAUUCCCGUGAUUCAUCGCUUCCAUACAACACCCAGUGCUCAUCCCAACAAGUGCCCUCCUCAAUGCCCAUCCCCCAUUUUCCCCUCUCCCCCGCCCUCACUCCCAUCCACCCUCAGUUUGUUCUCUGUAUUUAAGAGUCUCAAAAAAUUAAAAAAUUAAAAAUAAAAAAUACAGGAGGAAAAAAAAGAAGAGUCUC